GCUCCCGCGAGGCCGGUCUCUUGUGCCAACCAAAAGAAACAAAAUGGCCGACGGUCGCGAGGAAGUCAUUCUGGCGUUUGUGCCCAGCCGACCAAUCAGAAGCCUUAAAGGUGACCCAUCACAUUGAAGUUAUGUCACAGCCAGUCCACCACCUUCCAACGGCCACCCCACCUCACAAAUGGUGAUGUCCAUUUCUGAACAUAGUGGUGCCCGCCUGACCUAAAUGGAACCGUAUUGGCUCCUCUUCCAUUUUUGUCUGCCCCAAUAUUUAAACCUAAAGCACUUUGUGGGCAUUGAACAAUCUCGUUUUGGUUGGGGUGAACUUUAGGCACAUGCCUGGACAUGCCUGACAAACUGAACAUGGGGUAAUGUACUGUUGGGUCAUGGAUACGAGUGGAUACUCAACCACAGCUGCCUCUGUGGGCCUAAUCCCCAGACCGUCUUUGGAUACACCAAUCAGAGGAGAAGUUGAAAUGGACUACUGUGCACUAGUGUGUCUCUAUCCUCCUACAACUAACUGACUGGAUACAUGGGCAGAAAUGGAGGGUGUGAGAUGUGUGUGUUCUGUGUUGUGAUGGUACACUGUCUUCUCUGAGACGGCUCUACACACAGCUGUGUCUGUCACAUCUGCAAUACAUUCGACACGGGUCAGCAUGCUGAUCUGUUCAUGUGUGCUGUGCUUGUCUGUGUAUGUGUGCUGGUUUGUCUAAGUACAUACACUUUGAGUCACCCUCACUCAGCGCAAGGUCUGUUCUUCUGUAACACACACACACACAUGCACGCGCACGCACGCACGCACGCACACACACACACACACACACAAAUCACAUCACAAAUCAUAGUAAAUGUAUUUGAACCUCCUUAUGGUUAACGGACAUAGGAUUUAUCAUGUGCUUUAUGCUAUCUGGCAAAAAUAACAUUUGACACUGGAGGAGAUUGUAUGGUUUAGUAGUAGAAUCGCACAGCACCACUGAUUUUAUUAUCAAGGGGAGGUUACAACUGGCAAAUAAGAAUCUUUUAUUGGACAUCGCACAUAGUAUUCAGAUGAUGUAUGUAUAGAUAGAACACGUACAAUGAAUUCAAGUAGAAACAUAGAAAUGUGCUAAUUGAGUGAUUUAAACAAUUGUGGUAUAAAAAUCAGAGUAGGACGAUUACUUAUGUGUUAUAGGGAUAUGAAUACUAGUUUAGUGCGAAAAUGUGUUUUAUUUUGUGUAUAUUAUUUCUAUGCAUCUUUUGAAACCUAUGCAAAUGAAUCCACAAAGUAGAUAUUUUAUCAUUUGCUAAUGACGAUCAUUCAAAUUCUCAGAGGGUUUAGAUUUUUCCCCAGACAAUCUGUUAUAUACUGUAGGGGGAUGUGAGAGACUAGAAAUUAACCCUGGUCCAGACAGUAAAAUAUGUUGGGAUUUUACAGCGUUUUUCUCAACUGAUUUGGAUUUUUAUAGAUUUUUUACAAGUGUAUCAAUAUCAAAAUAUGAACAUUGGAAUGUUUUAAUUUGCAUGACCGUACGGGGACAUCUAUAGAUCUUCAACGAAUGGAUUGACUAGAAAGUUACAUAUACAGGUUUCCAAACAAUUAUUUGGGGAUUUCAUGUGAACAUUUUUACUCUUACUCUAUGCAACUUUUAUAUUUGAACUUUUUUUGGUAAUAAAUAAUAUGACUAUCAUUCGGA